rnacentral:rRNA from 1 species
UAGGGAAUCUUCGGCAAUGGGGGCAACCCUGACCGAGCAACGCCGCGUGAGUGAAGAAGGUUUUCGGAUCGUAAAGCUCUGUUGUAAGAGAAGAACGUGUGUGAGAGUGGAAAGUUCACACAGUGACGGUAACUUACCAGAAAGGGACGGCUAACUACGUGCCAGCAGCCGCGGUAAUACGUAGGUCCCGAGCGUUGUCCGGAUUUAUUGGGCGUAAAGCGAGCGCAGGCGGUUUAAUAAGUCUGAAGUUAAAGGCAGUGGCUUAACCAUUGUUCGCUUUGGAAACUGUUAAACUUGAGUGCAGAAGGGGAGAGUGGAAUUCCAUGUGUAGCGGUGAAAUGCGUAGAUAUAUGGAGGAACACCGGUGGCGAAAGCGGCUCUCUGGUCUGUAACUGACGCUGAGGAUCGAAAGCGUGGGGAGCAAACAGG